rnacentral:lncRNA from 1 species
AUGGGACGCGGGCAGAUCACUGCUCCCGGGAGAAGAGGGAGCCCCCGAUUCGAGCUUUUGAAUGCACUAGUAGAUAGCAUUACUAAUGACAACUGCCGAAAAGGAAACAGUAAAGAAAACCCCCGCCCAGGCCCGCUUUGGCUGGCGGUUCCACCGGCCCAUCAGAGUUUGGGGGGUGCAGCUGAAAAGGUCGAGAGAAGGGGGGAAGGGAAGGAGGAGGCUCCCGGUACGAUUUCGGAGCUGACCGUGACCCCUCCUGCGACCGAGCGGGCCCCGAGCGGGCGUGCAGGGGCAAGGGGACGGCCGCCGCGCGUUCCGGUCGCGGGCCCUGCCGAGCGUGGCGUGGAGACUGACGCCGGGCGGGAGCCACCGGUAUCCCCGCGGCCCCUCCAAAUCGGGCUUUGUUCCCGAGAGGACUCGUCCUUUCUCUCCCGGACCCUUCCCGCCACCCUGCGGCCCAGCUCUUCACCCCACUUCUUCCCCGGAGGACGGGUCCCCACGCACUGGCGUCCACUCGGAUGGCCACCGGGCACCAGAGAGGCCAGAGGCCCCCGGCGCGCAGGCUGCGUUGGCGACGCAGAGAGCAGGUGGGCGGCGGCAGGCCUGGUCCGCGGCGCUCCAGUGCCCGGCGGAAGGCACAGCGCACAGUCGCCGGUGGCCACCUCGGCCCCUGCCUACAGCCCGAUGUACCUCUGGCCUGUCCGGUGGGGUCGGGUCGCUGCGGCCGCAGCGGAGCCCGGCACCGGUCCCGGAUCACAGCUUCCAGCGCUCGGCCCGCGACGCGCCUCCGGUUACCCUGGGGCUGGCGUCUCUCGUCCCAUCGGAGCGCGCGGGGACAGCGCCCUGACGGCUGUGCCGGGCGACCGAUCGUCAGAUAUCAUUGACAACACCUUCCUUUCAUCGUGUUUUAUACCUGCCCUCUGCACGUGCGGGGGACAGAGUGACAAUUUUAAAAAAAAUCUUAGCUGUGCCUCCAGGCCCACGUGCCCCUCUACUGGGCAGCUACUAUUUAUUUGUCCGCUGAAAGCGGUGACAGCAAAGUAA